CUCUAUAUAUUCAUUCAUAAAGUCAAUCUAUUCAUGCUUGAAAUAAACAUUAGUCAUGAGUAGAGGAGAUCAGAUCACAGUCACAAAUUCUGAUGAAGAAGCUUCCAUGAAAUGGCUACGAAGAUAGAAGCUUCACAGAGGAUAGUGUUUAUUAUAUUGUUGCUUCACCGAAUCUUAAAGGUUGUAAGUUGUAACAAUUAUUGUGAUUCGUCAUUGAAGGAAGAGAAGUUGACGAUUAAAGGUUGUUGGUGUAUCUGAUUUCUGAUUUAUCAUAGGAAGGCAGAGAAAUAGAGAAGAGACUAUUUACGGUGAAGAGACUGUGAAAACUUUAUCAUGGGAAUAGUAGGUAACAUUAAAAAAUGAGGUACUUUGCAAUGACUAAUAUUUGCUUUCUUAAGUUGCCUACUUAGUUUGAAAAUUUCAGUAUUUUAAUAUUUUGUUGAUUAUAAAUUAUUAAAAAUUUAAGUUCCAUGAUGGGAGUUAUGCCCAUGCCUCGAGACUUAUACGUACGUCUUUACUUAUGUUUCUCACACCCUUGCCUUGAAAUCACGCCCGAGUUUGGUAGCUUUGUACUUCUUAUCGUCAUGAGAAGCAAAAACUAUAUUUUUGCAAGUGGUUCGAAUUUGCAUUA